AGCAAUGCAUCAGUUAUGUUUCCUGGAUCAUUAAAUCAUUGAAUGUUUAUCUAGCACCAAUCUGCUGCUGAUCUGUUUGUAGUCAUGAAAAGCACUUUAUGAUCUGAAAGUGCUGGCUGUAUGCCAUGGUUUUCCCCAUUCUAUGGUUAUUAUUGCAAUCGUGACUUAAUAGUGAUGCAAUAAUCAGUAGUGGAUUCGUGUUGGCUCUACUUCGGGUUUAGGAUCAUAGUUAUUAGCUCUGAUACCAUGUUAUUGAUUUAGAAACUUGGCUGAUGCAUUACUUUUGGAGAC
rnacentral:pre_miRNA from 1 species